AUGUCUCAUUUUCCGUUUCAUUCCUUUUGCUGACGAAGGGAAGGCUGAUGAAUGGAAUAUGUAGGCAAUAUAUGUCAUUACGUUAUGAAUGAAAUACUGAUCUAUUUUUCUUCUCUCUAAUAUUGUUCUCUCCUCUUCUCCUCUUUAGCUCCCUCCUCUCGAUCCAAAUUCUGCUCUGUUCUCUAAUUUCUUCCAAAUCAACUCUAUCUGUCUUGCCGUUUCCUUACAAUCCUGCUGUAAUUUCAUGAACUCUAGUGCUGUGAAAUCGAAUUAGGCUGUGAAAUCUUAGUCCUGCUGCGAUUUUCCUAGUCCGGGCUGUGAAAUCCUAGUCCUACGGCUGCGAUUUCCCUAAUCCUGCUGCUGCAAUUUCCCUAGUUAUGAACCCUAGUCGUGCUUCUGCGUUUUCCCUAUUUAUGAACCCUAGUCCUGCUACUGCGAUUUCAUGAACAACCCUAUUUCACAAUUGAAGGCAGAUCAACAAGAAGUCUAAUCAGCAUUAUUACUAUCAGUAAGUUUUUAGAAUUUAUCAUACCCACUAGAUUAGUUUUAUCAUAUAUGGGUAUUACUAUUCUGAUUGGUAUAUGACAAAAUUAAUCCAUUGUGUUAUAUAUAUUCCCUGUUUUUAUUUUGGGUUUUAGUUUCCUUGGUGUUUUAAGUAUUGCUGAAGUAUUGACAUGUUUGUUUCAUUUGUGUUUGAUUCUUAAUUCUAGUAGCAACAUUACAUUUUUUGGAACUAUUUACUGUUGAAUGUAGCUCAAGUUUAGGGUAAAAGAUUGGAUUAGUACUUCUUGUUGUUUCUGCUUAUUGGUAUAAUCUUGAUAUUGAAAUGUAAUAAUUUUUCUGCAUAUUAUUGUAGAGGCAAUAAAAUAUAUACAAGUAACAAUUAUUGCAUUCAGAUUAUUUAAACCAGACUUUGUUUUAUCAGGUUUGCGAAAUCUAAUUUUUGGUGAACUCAGUAUCAUUUUUAACAGAUUAUUACUCUUUAAAGUUACUCCCCUUUUCCCCCUCAAGCUGUUGGUAAAUUAAAAUAUAUGUCAAAUUUUGAUAAAUAUAUAUUAAGUUAAAUGAAAAACAAAAUUGUAGAAUAGUCGUGUGCUUCGCUCAAUUUAUUGAGUAGGUGGUGUUUGGAAUAGGUGGCCUAAUAUGAGUAGGUAUUCCUUGUAAUUGGUUUUUAGGAUAUUGGUAAUCUUACAUUCACAUUAAUUCAUGUAAUUGGUAAAACGUAUGAGAAUGACCAAAAAAGAGGUGAUAAUAUUAGAUUACUGCAUAUUUGUUGAUAUGAAAUUAUCUAUCUCUCCAAUUAUAAUGAAAACAUGUGGGUUACAGUUUACACAGUGAGAAAUUUGGUUCAGUUUGUGUUGUUGUCAUAGUUCAGUUGAGUUCAGUGUAAUUACAUAUCCUCAUAUUUCUGCUUACCAAAUUAAAUCUCACAAGAUUGUCAUAAGGCUUUUGUGGAAAUUGCUCACAGAUGCUUGCACAAUCACUCAAAUAAACGUCUUACAAUGGCUGAAGUGGUUGCCAAACUCGAGUUUUCAUUAGAAUUGCAGCAGAGCACCGAGUCUUUUAUACUUGAAGACUUUCUUGUUGGUAGUGGUGGCAAACCAGAUGAUUCCAAGGAUCUUAUCAAUGUUGAUAAUGGUUUGCAUCACAACCAGCCGAUUAAUGAGAUUAUACCGAUUUGCAAUGCAAGCGGCUCAGCUGAGAAAUCUAGUGUACUAAUGUCCUCAAAGGAAAAAAGAAAAAGAAGGAUACUUUAAGCUGUUGGAAUAAUGACUAAAGGUAAUAAUAUUCCAAAGGACUACUACUUCUAACGGGACUGGACCAUCAUGGGGUAGGCACUGGAAGUCAUUUUGGCAAAAAAGGUUGUCAUCCAAACCUUUAUAAUUCCGUGAUCCAUAUCUGAAUAAUGUACAGAUCCGUGAGUUUUCAGUUACCGAGAUUCAUGCAGCCACACAACUCUUUCUCGAGGACAUAAAAGUUGCAGAUACAAGGUAUAUUGAGGUGUUCAAAGGUUAUAUAGAUGGACAUAAAGAGGUUGCUAUCAAACGGUUCAGAUGGACAGUUAGUGAUUUUAGACGUUUCUGCAAAGAGAUCACGAUACUCGCUAGAACCAAUCAUCAGAACGUGGUGUCAUUAGGAGGGUACUGUUACCACAAAGAUGAGUCAUGUUUGGUGUAUGAGUACAUGUCCAAUGGUUCCCUCCAUGAUCAUCUUUAUAGCAAUGACCCCUUACCACGGAAGCAAAGGAUCCAAAUCUGCAUUGGUGCUGCCAGAGGAUUGAACUACCUCCACACAGGUGUGGCGGGUCUAACAGUAGUCCACGGAGACGUGACGCCAACUACAAUUCUGCUGGACGAGAACUGGGUACCUAAAAUAUCAGGACUUGGGUAUUGCAACUACUCUGACUCCUACCAUGCUGAUAGUGGAAAUGUCAUUACAGGUACAUAUGUACAUGGGUACUUUGAUCCGGAGUACUUUAUGUGGGGUCAAUUCUCAGAAAAAUCAGACGUAUACUCAAUAGGUGUGGUAUUGUGGAAAGUAUUAGUAUCAGUAGUAGACUGGAAAAUAGAUAUUUUGACCACUGGAAAAUAGAUAUUUUGACCACUGGAAAAUAGAUAUUUUGACCACUGGGUUAAUAAGCAGCAGCAUUAGAAACUCAACUCUUCAUAAGAUUAUCCAUCCACAAUAAGUCUACUAUCACAUACAACCACUCACAUACAUAUUUUGAUGGUCCAUGUGUAGAGCAAGCAUUGUGGGCCAUCAAAAUAUGUAUGUGAGCGGUUGUAUGUGAUAGUAGACUUAUUUUAUCCAUCCACGUCUUAUGGGGAAAAUAGCAGCGGAAUGCUUGAUUGAAUUCGUGCAUAUUGCAUUAAAUUGCGUGUGUGAUCAAGGAUUUGAACGCCCACCAAUGGCUGAGGUGGUGAAGAGGAUUGAGUUUGCACUUGAAUUGCAGGAGAAGGCAGAAGCUGCCACUCAUCAUUUUGAUGGUAAUAAUAACACUCCUGCUGGUUCUGGAUUCGAAUUGGACAGCAAUAUCUAUCCAUAUUUAUCAUACUGAAGAGGAUUGAGUUUGCACUUGAAUUGCAGGAGAAGGCAGAAGCUGCCACUCAUCAUUUUGAUGGUAAUAAUAACACUCCUGCUGGUUCUGGAUUCGAAUUGGACAGCAAUAUCUAUCCAUAUUUAUCAUACUGUGUUGAUAAAUUCUGGCCUGCUCCUGUUUCGGAGGUUUCAGAUUCUGUACCUAAUUUUGAUUCUGAUAGUAUGGUCUUUCCCCGAUGAAGCUUUUCAUCGUUGACAAAGUCAUUUAUGUCCACUUCUUGAUGGUGGAUUUUUUUCCAAUACUGCUUUAGUCAUUCUUGUAUGUUUCUCUCUCCCCCUUUAUCUGUUGAAUUGUCUGUUGGUCCUUGUGUCAGCCUGCACUUUUGGUGUUCAUGGCAAUGGGUUUCCUAUAUAUAUGUUGCUGCUAAUAGAUUAAUGUUGUGAGCCGCUACCUACUUUGGACCUCUAUUAUUGUAUAGCAUGCCUUUUGUUCUAGGGAAUACCUUACUUUCUCAUUGUAUUACUCUCUCUCUCUCUCUUCCAAAAUAUAUAAAAUCAAUUUAAGUUUCUCAGAUGUCAUUUUGAGGCCAUUAAUUUUACAUAUGUUCACCGUAAUGUUUAUAUGGUUGCUCAUGAUUUUGUUAAAUUAACACAAAGAUACGAGUUUUCUUUUCCUACUUAUUCAAGCUUACUAAUAUUAAGUCUUUUAACCUUUUUUUUUUAAAAAAAAAGGAAAGAAAAAGAAAAGCCUCCAGUAGUAGACGAUUUUUUUUUAAAAUUUUUUAUGUAAUACUAAAUUUUUUGAUAACUAGUAGAAAUAUGAUAUGGGUUUAAAAAUAUUAAUCGGCUAGAGGUAUAUUCACCGCACAUGGGUUGGUGCCUGUAGGUGUCUCAAAGGAAAAAACUCUAAUAUAAUAUCUGACAAAUUAGAAGUGUAAAACACAAAAACAUAAAUAAACACCAGGAAAAAAAACAAAGUAUGCAUCGUUCUUGAUAAGUUUAAGGUAAUACUGUUUUUUCAUAAAUUAGAAAACAGAUUUAAUUUACCCUUGCCACUCCCUAGUGUAUUCCUCGGGAUAGACUUAAUUUCCAGCCAUGUCAAGUAUUUACAAGUUGCGUCUAACCCUUACGCUGUCAACCAUUUGUCACGAAGCUCAGUGACCCAACCUUAACAUUUUGAAGACAGUAUAUGAACCAUAAGUUACAGUCUGUAGAACAAAGAACUACGCUUUAAAUGGAAUAACUGUCCAGGACAAGGCCAAUUUUAUCUAACAAACUUACAAGCCUUGUAAAGAAUUUGGAAUAGAUUGAAUGGAGAAUUAUUUAAGUUUCUUAAUCUAACAACUAAUUUAUAUGGUUGCUUCCUUGUGUUCCUACUAACAAACUUCAAUCUGCUAUGUCAAUCUGCUAUGUCCAGGAAGAAAGUUAAACUCCGAAUUAGAAAGAGAGAGACCCAACAUACGAACUCCAGUCCUAGAUAGUUUAUCGUCCAUGAACUAUGUCAAAUUAUCGAUGUAUACCAUAACCGUGAACCUAUCGUGUGUGAAGUGGGGCCUGAAUCAUCCAGAUGCUGGACAUCCAACAGAACUGACAGCUAAUGCCCAAAUAAAGAUGAUACUCAGAUAGCAAAGUUGGUAUCUUUAUUCUCAUAAUGAAGCAUUACAAACAAAAACAGCCAGCAUGAAGUGAUAUAAGAUAAUUAGUAAAGUGAGGGGAAAGAGCCGUAUUAUGCAAGUGCGAGCAAUGCUACCAUUGCUAAGUGCAAAGAAGACUUUGAUAUGCUAAUUAAAAGCUAUUACAUCAG
rnacentral:lncRNA from 1 species